rnacentral:rRNA from 1 species
UACGUAGGGGGCAAGCGUUGUCCGGAUUUAUUGGGCGUAAAGAGCGUGUAGGCGGCCAAGCAGGUCCGCUGUGAAAACUCGAGGCUCAACCUCGAGACGUCGGUGGAAACCGUUUGGCUAGAGUCCGGAAGAGGAGAGUGGAAUUCCCGGUGUAGCGGUGAAAUGCGCAGAUAUCGGGAAGAACACCGAUGGCGAAGGCAGCCAUCUGGACCGACACUGACGCUGAGGCGCGAAAGCGUGGGGAGCGAACAGG